UACAGAAGGGUCAAGGGUUGUUCGGAUUCAUUGGGCGUAAAGGGUGCGUAGGUGGUUGGGUAAGUCAAAUGUGAAAUCCCGGAGCUCAACUCCGGAACUGCAUUCGAUACUGCCCGGCUCGAGGAUUGGAGAGGAGACUGGAAUUCACGGUGUAGCCGUGAAAUGCGUAGAGAUCGUGAGGAACACCCGUGGCGAAGGCGUGUCUCUGGACAAUUCCUGACACUGAGGCACGAAGGCCAGGGGAGCAAACGGG
rnacentral:rRNA from 1 species